rnacentral:lncRNA from 1 species
CGGGCUUAGGAUCGCGAACAGUUUGAAGGGGCACACUCAGACUGGACAGCCUAUAUAGAUAUCCCCUCCAGACGACGAGGAGACUCGACGAGUGAUCCAGGAGAAAGCCUCUCGUUCGAUUGGCCACCACGAACCGUUAUCUUCGACAAGCUUGCAACGAAAAAAUAUGUUCAAAAGAAAGAAAAAAAGAUGAAGAGAAGAAAAACGAAGAGAAAGAAACGUCUCGCGAGCUAAUUUUAAUGGACGUGUUUCCACGAUGGUGUGUACAGGAACGCCCUCAGAGGAUAAAUGAAAGAGAAGAAACGAUGGAUUACUGUGUUGGAUGUAAUUGAUCACGAAGACAAUGGAUUCCCUCUAUUUAUGACAAUAUCGUCGAUCUCGUCGGUUUGGGUAUCGACGGCGGGUGAAAGCAAGGCAGAAUAUACAUUCCUCCACGGUGUCCAGGCCUCUACUAGUGCUUUUUCCGUGUAAUUACUUUAAUAAUUCGUAUCGACUUCCAGUGGGAACUCCUUUCGCUGGACACGCAAGUUGGCUCGUUUCUUGGUCUCUAUAUUUGCUAGAAACUUCCAUUUUCUUCGUUAUCUUGCCCGAAGGAGAAAAAGAAGAACACAAUUUGUCGCUACUCCGGGGAAACACUAAGGGAAGUAAUGAAAUUAUAGAGGAUUCUCGCCGGAUGGCAAACAUGACCGAGAAAUUCUCGAAAGACUUGGCUCGAUCAUUUUUAGAAGCAUUAUUGGUUCAGAGAUAUUGUUACAAGAAAAAAAAAUAACCCUGUUUAUUGUAAAUUUAAUUUAUUUGUUCAAUGUCGAGCAAUCGUUGCGAUUAUUCUAACCUCGAAAAAUAUUCUAACCUCAAAUUCCACGCAUUUCUAUCUCAAUUAAAAUCCGUUAAAUGUAACAAAGAGAGAGGCAUUCGCCUCUCGAAGAAUCUUAAGUUUAAUUUAAGUAAUAUCGAAGCGUGAAGUUAAAAAAAAAAAGAAACACAAGAAUGUUAAUCUCUUCGAUUCGAAUUGCAAAUUAUGUUAUUAUUUUGUAUCACACGCCAUUCCCAUCGAUGAAUUGUAUCGAUUAUAAUCGAUUCUCUCUGUAUGAAGAUUAUUCUCGCGUAUCGACUCGUUUUAAACUCGAUUAAAAUUAGAAUUAAUAACUGUCUUGAGCGAAGCGUAUUGCACAGGCUUUAUCGUUUUACCGCGAGCGGAAGCAACAGUUAAGAUUAAUUAUUCUUUAUGGCAGGCUCGUAAUCGUACGUCUUCUAAUAAAAAUAUUUAUUUAAUUCUACUUCUAUUAUUGUUUAAAGAAGAAGAGUGAUUUAAUUUUGUUUUCGCAUUUGAUUUAUCCAACCUCAAAGAAUUAUUAUUCCAUUGAUCUGUUAUCAUUAAAAUAUGUGCAAGAUGUGCUUUAAUUCUUUUAAAAGAACAAAAUUGAAAGAACAGAAUGAGUCACGGUGAAAGAUACUUUCUAAAACUGAUGCUUCUCACAUUUAAAAUUUUUACACAGUUUUUAACUCGCGUUAUUAUUUAUAUAUAAAAACAAAAUCUACCUUAGAUCCAUCUUAGAAUUUCUAUUCCAAAAAGAGAAAAACUGGAACAUCCUUUUUUUACAAUCCAACAAAAUAACCACGACUGUCUAUUAAUUAAAAAAAUAUAUAAAAUAUUAAAGAUAAACAAAUAUGCCUAUUCAUAUCAUCAUCAAUUUCCAUAAGUUAUUACAUUAGAAUAAUCAGAAAGAGAAAAAAAAAAAAGAAAAAAAAAGAUAUCGACCGAGCAAGAUUUAUCUACUGAAUUUUUCAAAACGCGUCCAAUUUCCGUCGCGCGAGCAACGUAGGCGUGCAUUUGUUAAAUCGUGAAAAAGAAGAGACGUUCCACUUUUGUUUUUUCCACUAUUUGAAACACGGUGUAACGGGGUUACCGCGAUCGUUGUUUCUUCCCUAUCGUAAGCGUGGAGGA